GUGCUCACCUCAGCAGCACACAUACUAAAAUUGGAACAAUACAGAGAAGACUAGCAUGGCCCCUGCAUGAGGGUGACAUGCAAAUUUGUGAAGUGUCCCAUAUUUUU
rnacentral:snRNA from 1 species